UCAGGCCCCAGGCGGGCCCUGCACCCCCCAGGAGGGCCCGGCUCAGCGGGCGGGGCUCCCCGAGAGGCCGCGGUUGCCUGCCGGGCUCCCGAGGGUCUUCCCCGCGGCGCAUCCCCUCCCGCGGCAGCUGAAAGGUGGACUGCUGUCUUCUGAGGACAUUGUGUAUGAUUUCUUUCCCCUCUUUUAAGUCUACACCUAAUGCUUUGUGGAACCUGCUUUGGGAAAAGAUGGCUUCACUACCAAAAAUGAACGUCAACAAAAAGAAAAAUAUCUGAAUACAAAUGAAAUCUGUAACUAUUUAUGGAAAAUAUUUUCUAUUAACCAACCAAGUAGAAAUAGCUAGAACAAAAGGAAAGAUUUUAUUUACAGUGUUUUCAUUCCUUAAAAUAAGGGCCCGUGAAUGGCUUUUUGUCCUUUCCUUUUUUAAGUCAGUAUUAUUAGUCAGAAUAGGCUGGGUUAAUGCAAUAAUAAAUAAACCCUUAAGCUUAGUGCUUAA